GACGAACGCUGGCGGCGUGCUUAACACAUGCAAGUCGAACGGUAAGGCCCUUCGGGGUACACGAGUGGCGAACGGGUGAGUAACACGUGGGUGAUCUGCCCUGCACUUCGGGAUAAGCCUGGGAAACUGGGUCUAAUACCGGAUAGGACUCCUGCCUGCAUGGGUGGGGGUGGAAAGCUUUUGCGGUGUGGGAUGGGCCCGCGGCCUAUCAGCUUGUUGGUGGGGGGAUGGCCUACCAAGGCGACGACGGGUAGCCGGCCUGAGAGGGUGACCGGCCACACUGGGACUGAGAUACGGCCCAGACUCCUACGGGAGGCAGCAGUGGGGAAUAUUGCACGAUGGGCGCAAGCCUGAUGCAGCGACGCCGCGUGAGGGAUGACGGCCUUCGGGUUGUAAACCUCUUUCAGCACAGACGAAGCGCAAGUGACGGUAUGUGCAGAAGAAGGACCGGCCAACUACGUGCCAGCCGCCGCCGUAA
rnacentral:rRNA from 1 species